rnacentral:rRNA from 1 species
AUGGUCUCAGAGGCGCAUAACAACCGUGCGGAGUACGACAAGUCUUUGCAUGAAGCGCGCCGGGAGAUCGACUUGAAGGUGCAAAAGGAUCGCGCUGAGGUAGAUAAGAAACUCAAAAAAGAACGUUCAUACGUGGACAGGAUGAUAAAGGAGGAGCGUGAGGAGUUUUCCCGUAAGAUGGCGAAGAUGCGUCUUGAGAUUGAAGAAAAGUAUAAGCGGGACUGUGAGGACAUGGAAAAAAAGUUUUUCCUUGGCUACAAGGAAAUGCAUCAAACGUUGCAGAAGGACCGGAAGCUUGUGGACAGUAUUAUACAGACAGAGCGAGUCAGGAUGGAUGCCUAUGUGUUGCAGGCACGUUCGGAUAUGGACAACAAGCUGCUAUAG